GACGAACGCUGGCGGCGUGCUUAACACAUGCGAGUCGAACGGAAAGGCCCUGCUUUUGUGGGGUGCUCGAGUGGCGAACGGGUGAGUAACACGUGAGUAACCUGCCCUUGACUUUGGGAUAACUUCAGGAAACUGGGGCUAAUACCGGAUAGGAGCUCCUGCUGCAUGGUGGGGGUUGGAAAGUUUCGGCGGUUGGGGAUGGACUCGCGGCUUAUCAGCUUGUUGGUGGGGUAGUGGCUUACCAAGGCUUUGACGGGUAGCCGGCCUGAGAGGGUGACCGGCCACAUUGGUACUGAGAUACGGCCCAGACUCCUACGGGAGGCAGCAGUGGGGAAUAUUGCACAAUGGGCGGAAGCCUGAUGCAGCAACGCCGCGUGCGGGAUGACGGCCUUCGGGUUGUAAACCGCUUUCGCCUGUGACGAAGCGUGAGUGACGGUAAUGGGUAAAGAAGCACCGGCUAGCUACGUG
rnacentral:rRNA from 1 species